rnacentral:rRNA from 1 species
UAAGUUAAAUAUAAAUUUUUUCCCCGAUAAAAAAAGAUCUACAUAUGUUUAGGUUAUUAGACUUUAGUAAUCAAUGUUGAAUUAUUGUUUAUUAAAACCCUAUAUAGAAGUGAAAUGCUUACAAUUUUUUUGAUAUCUGGAUAAAGUUUAAAGGAAUUUAGUUCUAAAGGUAUUUGAAAAGUUAUAAGAUUUUUCAAAUUUUAGUAUUGUAAAUUAAAUAAAAUAGUGUAUUGGGAAUAAUUUUCUAGAAUUAUAUAAUUACGAUUAUUAGUGUUUAACACAAUCUAUACUUACCUAAACUUCUCACUGAGGUUUUUUACCUAAUCUCAAAUAAUAAUGUUUAAAUAAGUAUUUUAAUUAUAUCUAAAAGAGGAACUCGGCAAAAAUUCUCUUCAACUGUUUACCAAAAACAUAGCUUAAAGGUAAUGUAUAGAUUUUAAGUGACUUCUGCCCAGUGAAAUUUAAACGGCCGCAGUACACUGACUGUGCUAAGGUAGCAUAAUAAAUUGGCUUUUAAUUGGAGUCGGGUAUGAAAGGAACCAUGGAGAGAAGCUGUCUUUUAUAGACAUUGUAAAAAUUGCUAAGGAAGUGAAAAUUCUUUCAGAAUGUUAUGUAAGACGAGAAGACCCUAAGAAUUUUUAUAAAAUAAAGGAUAAUUCAUUAUAAAUUUUUGUUGGGGCAACAGUUUUGGAUAACCAAAAUUAUAAUAGGUAAGGUUAUAGGCCUAUAAUUUAAGAUAGAUGAAAUUACCUUAGGGAUAACAGCAUAAUUAUUUUAAUAGAUUGUGACCUCGAUGUUGGACUAAGGACUUUAUUAAAUAGCCUUUAAUAAAGCUAGUUCUGUUCGAACUAUUACACCUUA